rnacentral:rRNA from 1 species
AUAGCUUUAGGGCUAGCCUCGUAGUAAGAUACCUGGGGGUAGAGCACUGAAUGUUCUAGGGGCCUUCACCGGUUACCGAAAACUAUCAAACUCCGAAUACCAGAGUAUCAUCUACGGGAGUCAGACUAUGUGAGAUAAGUUUCAUAGUCGAAAGGGAAACAGCCCAGACCGUCAGCUAAGGUCCCAAAAUAUAGGUUAAGUGGAAAAGGAUGUG